rnacentral:rRNA from 1 species
UACGUAGGGGGCACGCGUUGUCCGGAUUUAUUGGGCGUAAAGAGCGUGUAGGCGGCUUUACAGGUCCGUUGUGAAAACUCGAGGCUCAACCUCGAGACGCCGGUGGAAACCGUAAGGCUAGAGUCCGGAAGAGGAGAGUGGAAUUCCUGGUGUAGCGGUGAAAUGCGCAGAUAUCAGGAGGAACACCCGUGGCGAAAGCGGCUCUCUGGGACGGUACUGACGCUGAGACGCGAAAGCGUGGGGAGCAAACAGG